AUGGCAUGUGCAAAGCUGUGUAGUGACGAGGUCUUUAUGACAUGCUUCUGCUGUCUGCAAGCCCGAUCCUCUUACGUGGGCUCCGUAGGACAGCAAAACCGUGCGUUCCCAAGGAGCCCAUGGCCCUGCGGAGUGGACUGUUGGUUUAAUCCUCCACAUACAGGAGUUUUCUGUGCGCUGAAUGGCAAACCCAUGGUGAAUGGGCGGCAGAGCAAUCUAAACAAGAAUGGAUGCUCGUCUGUAUCUACUAAAGCCAAUGCUCUGGGUCAGCGCCCUGCUGACCCAAUCUCAAUUCCAUCUCUGCCCUGUGGGGUUGGGCAGCUGCAUGGCUCAGUGGAUGGAUGCAGAGCUGAGUGCAAACCCAGCUUCAGACACUUAUUAGCUGGGGGAACCUGGGCAAGUCACUCAACCUUUAUUUGCCACUGGAGAAGCAACUGGCAAAGCGCUCCCGGAUCUUUGCACGGUCCAGUCCACCGGGUCAUGAAUCGCUGGGCACGACUGAAUAGUAGCAAGCACUGGAUUUUGCCUGGAUUUCUGAUUAGCGAUGGAGAUCCUUCUUCCAGACCCAUUUCAAAAUGCCUUUCAAAACUUGUGGAUCAUCAUAGUAUUUAGACUUGCACCUCCCCAGCUUUACUGUGAAGACAUCGUCUAUACAGCCAAACGCGAGCUCCUUACUUUUGGCUGUCUUCUUCUUCUGUGUUAUCCCGGUGCCACUGAUGCUUCUUUAUUCGUCCGUUCAUGCGUUCAUUUGGUCCGAUGCAGUGUGGUUUGCUGCCUUCAGAAUGUUUAGUCCACCCGCCCAUCCAGCCAUCCAGAAUCAGGCAAGCAGCCAAGCACUGCUCUGCUCGCUCCGGCUAGCCCCAGGGCCGCAGAGGCCAACAUGGAGUGGUCCCAGGGGCGCCCCCGCACACGCACCUGUGCAGGUACAUGAGUAUACUUGGAGAUGCCAGUGAGACUGGGCGCUCCUCUAAAGGAGAGAAGGACAGAAACGGUGGCCCAGAGAAAGGCAGCGAGCUCAGAGGGAGACGGCCAGGCUGCCGUGGUGAUGGUGGGUCCGCUGCUGCGGCCGUGGAAGGGAGAUGGCGGCUGUUCCGUCCAUGGCCUCCCCAAGCACCCGAGGGAGCGGUCAGCGCUCUCAAGGCCGCAGCGCUGUAUUCUAGCGGCAGCCUCUCUCCUCCGAAGGGUCUCGGCCCCUCCCGCCCCGGCUCCCACAUCCUUGUUGGUUUGCUCUCUCCAGCUGCUAAGCUCCUCAGCCGGGCCGCGCUAGUCGCCGCUGUGCAGCCCAGGCGCAAGGCUGAAACGGACACCAGGAGGCCCUCCAGCCCUCACAGGUCAGGGGUUUGUGUGGCCCGAGCCUGCCCGGACUUUGGCCCGGACAGCGUCGUGUUGGCAUGGAAACGCAUCUGGGCAGUGUUGACUCCCAGGAAGUGGGGGGCCCGCUUUUCCUGGACUGUCUUUAGAUGCCCCAGUUCCGCUCUCCAACACCAACCCAGUAUCAGGGGCAGCCUUUGAAGGGGAAACGAGCUCAGCCUGGGGGAGGCCUUGGCAGACCUGGCAAGGCUUCCGGAGACACGACUUCUCCAAGAGGUCACCGGCUGCAUUCGUGCGUCCUUGGGGAAGAGAAAAAAGAGCGCGACUCUUCUCUGCACAAUCGCUGCUGCGGAGAAAACAAGGGUAUAUGUAAAUAAACACGAGGAGGAGGCCCUGCGCUACUGCA
ensembl:lncRNA